UGAGUUGCUACGGUGCAAUUGCAAUUCUUAAACUAUACACGCUUCCAGAAAGUACACUCCCCUUGAACCGCGAAUUCUUUGGCCACAACCUUGAGUUGAUUUUCUCGAAGCGAAGAUAUCGUCGAUCUUCGAGAGAGGUCAUGGCUUAUCGCAGCUUCCCUAUCUUUGCAACAUUACACAAAUAUAUUUCUGAUAACUACGUCUCGCGGAUGAAGACUGUCAAAGUCAAGUUUACUUGAGAAAUUGAUUUAAUCAAGAGAAUUUGAUCCAGUUUGUAAAAUCUGUAAUUUUCUUAUCAUUCAUUGUCUUUGGAACUUUGUUAAACAUGAUUUUUAGAAAAAGAGAAAAAAGGAGUGCUUUAUUCUCAAUCGCUCGAAAGUUAUUGAUGCUUUGAUAUUUUUUUUAAACAAAAAGGUUGAGUCAAAGUUAUAAGGAUGGGCAGUUCAAAGGAACCGCAUUGGGUCCAUGACUACAAUAUGGAUUUUCUAGGCCAGUACAGUAGAGUCGAUGAAGAUGUCGGAGCGGCUACUGCAGGAGCGAGGGUGAUACAGGAUGAGAAGCUGGCGAGCAUGCGCCAUCAUUCAUGAUUCCUCUUCGCUGCUCUUUCACGCAUCCACGAUAGCAGGGAAACAUUAUUCCGAUAUAUACUGAUCGAAAUUGGCAAUAUCGUUCGAAAUCGAUCCUGUGUUCCCCUCACGUGCAAAAAUCGUAUAAAAACGUUUUAAAAUAUUAUAAGCUCAAAAGCUUCAUGUUCUCUAUUUCCUUACACUCUUAUUCAUUCUCCCUCUGUUUAUAUCACAAAUACCGAUAAGACUAAACUGUAAAAUAUUAGGCGCGCAAAUUAAUUCGGUAUUUGUUUUGCAGAAAUUGAGCCUUUUUUACAAAACAAUAAUAAGCGUGUCAAUCUUCGAAAUAGUUGCUAUUAUUUUCUAACACUUUUCCCUAUCUAUCGGACAGCUGAUGAAUCCUCACUCGAAAAAAGAAAGUAAACGAAAGCUCAAUUUAAAAAAAAAAGAAGCAUUGAAUUAAUUUGCACGCCUAAUAUGUUAAAAAUAAAUUGAAACUACUCUGUAAAGAAUGAAGGGAGUGGAAAGUUUAGCAGAAAUUUAAUCAGUGUAAAUAGUAAUGAAGACUAGUACAGCUGGUCCUAAGUUGACGCCAAAUUACAAAUAAUCUCUAUAAUACAUAUAUACAUCGAUUCAGAAUCGUUUAGAAUUGUUUCUAGUGCGUUUUUUUCGUUUACAGUUUAACAAAAAAAUUUUUGAAAAAAUGGUUUACAACCGACUAAAAGACAAAUUUCGAUGACAUACAUCAAUUCAGAAUCAUUUGUAUUCGUGCAUAGUGCUUUUAUAUCUGCUUGCAGUUUAAUAAAACAAAAACUUAUAACAUUUUGAAGAAAUGGUUGACAACCGACUGCGAGAUAAGGAAAUUUCGAUGAUAUGUAUAUACA